CUGUGUAAGUGAUCAGACUUUGUGUCUCAGGCCUAAUAAGGCUUCAAAGGCCAACCACAUUACCAAAGUGAUGAGGUGUUCAGACUUUAAAACUAUACUCACAGUCUUCAUGAUCUGAUAGUCUCAUAUAUUACAUUUCUAAAGGAACUUUCUGUAUAAAAUGAAUGUGUGGAAGCCAAGUCUGAAAAAAAAAAAAAAAAAAAAAAAAAAGAUAGGUAAGAGAGUUACAGGUAAGCAAGAUAUGAAAAUAGAAGUAGUUCAAUCAGAUAAAUGUGGACCACAGAUUAAUCCUGAUAUGAUUAAGUACAGAGAUGGAUGAUCAGUGCUAAAGAAAUGGGGUAAGAAAAUUACAGGGACAUUUAGAAGUACAGCAUUAUUUUGUAAGUUCUAAGAAUGUAGCACAACAAUUACUGGGUGUAAUGGUUGCUUCUCUGGCAGCUCUUAAUAUAAAACAAGCUCAUCAGAUGCUUUGCCAGAUAACCUCUGGCUCUUAUAUAGAUUUUUGAACAACACACAUAAAUUAUACUUCAUGAACAGCUCUGUCAGUGAAACCCAACCUGUACAGCUCUUUAGAUACAGCUUGCUAAGCUUGUACAUUUUUUCAUGACCAAUUUGGUAAAUUAUGAAAUUACAGCAAAGGUGAGUUCCAUGUCAAAGUUGUUAAGAUAAAAAUUCCCUUUAACUCCUUCUCAGAGAAUAUUUUGGGUGAAGAGGAAUGGUAGACAAUAUCUAAAAUGAAUCUAGAGGCUACUUUAAAGUUAGACAAAUAAGAAAUAUUAUGUCUCUAGUUUUUAAAAUCCAUUCUCAGUUGUUGUGCAUGUCAUUCCACAAAUAUUUGGGUUUAAGAGUAAUUUACUGAAUAGUCACUACUGUGCCAAAAGGGUGGGGAUCACAUACCUGAAAUUGUUUUAGAUUAUAGUUCCCUUAUUCUAGCUAUAAAUAUUGAAGCAAAGAACUUAGGACAGGCUAAAAAAAACCAUCAGUUUUAAUUCAUCAUCAGCUUGUGUUUCAACUAUUCAAACCAUUGAAAAAGCAGAGUAAAACAGCCAACACCAGUUCACAAGUAACUGUAGCUAAUCUUCUCCUAGUGACCAAGCAAACUUUUUUACACCACUUCUAUGCCUGAGGAUACAUCAAAAAAAUUCUAAAGGGUUCUUUAAACAGUGCAAGUUAAUGUACAAAAUUGUCAUAGGAAACUUAAGACUGGCGUGGAUGAAGAAUGAAGAGAAUUGUCUGUGUAGGGAAGACCCAGAAGGGACAAAGAAUAGAAGGGCUAUAAGCAGGUCUGGUCUUGAUGGCACAUAGAAGAGCAGGCUAGCAAGAUACAUGUAUUUGCUGCUUCUGAGGUGACCCAGCUUUGAAAAGAAAAGAAAACACAAACACACACACACACACACGCAGGGGAAAAAACAAACAAACAAACAAACAAACAAAAAACACCUAAGAAAUGGGAAAAUCUAGAAAGGAAUAGAGUAUGUCAACAUUAAAAUAAAGACUCAAGCCAUUAAAAGGUGGUUGAAGGAAGACAGUAGACCGUACAGCGUGGGAGCCAGAAGACACCUGGAUAAGCAGACACAACAAUGUAAAGGAUGCAAAUGCCUCAAAUCAGCAGAGAACUGCAAACCUAAGCUGAACCUAGAAGUCAUCAGGAGGACUUAAUAUCUUGCAUCCCUUAUUUCCCCUAUAUUCACAAGACAUCCUGGGCAGACUACCGAGGCUGAAUGAUCUCUGUGUCUGCAGCAUAGGCGGGUGUCUCCUUGACACUUGUGAGAGCGCAGAUAUGACAACGACGUGAUUGCAUGAAAACAAUUUUGUUCCAGUGAUUUUAUCAAAUAAAGUCACCUUCAUGUUCCAUCAGGUCUCACUGAGACACUGAUACCAUGAUGUUGCUAAUCUUGCCUUCUUAAGCUUGCUCACUAUCCGUGUUGUCUCUUGUUGCCCAAGCUCUUUUGUACAAGGAAAAGACAUUCUUCGUAAGAGAAGGUAUGUAUAUUUUUCCAUUGCCAGUUUCUAAAGUGAAAGAUGUGCUUAUUGAGUCCCCAUCAAGUAUAAAUCUCAGAGAUGUCUGUAAAUUUUCUCUAGACUGGGGAGGAGCCCGUAGUUGAAUUUAGGUAGUUGAAAAGGUAAACAGAAAGAGGAGUGUGUACUAUUUUUUAUUCUAACUUACUCCAUGUGAUCUAACUAACUCAUGUUUGAUGCUCUGAUGAAAAUCUUGUGCAACAAGCCUUCUUGCUCCCUGUGAAUAUGUCUAUAUAUUAAUUUGAAAUAAGUAAUCCCUCAUAUGUUCCAACUUUUGUUUCUCUUAUCAUCUAGCUUGUCUUUGCAGAGCAGUAAAUAAUUACAGAUGUUGCAUUUCCUAGAAUCAGCUGCAAGCAGCAGUGUUGCUUACAACAGCUCCUUCUCCUUCUACAGUGUGGACUGUGUGCUUGCAUACUACUUUCAGUGUGAUGGCAAAUGAUGGGGGCAUUUGUUCAUAUUUCCCCUUCCAAGACAGUAUCCUUGUGCUUUGCAGUCACACCUUUCAUUACAAAACUCUUCCAGAUAGUUUUUCUAUUUCUGGUAUUCUGUGUUCUGCACAUGGCAGUCUGUCUUUGUGCAUAGUGUCUUAAGCUUUGAGGAGAAAAUAAUGAAGACCGUAGUUCUCGUCAGUAUAAUGGCUGGACUGCCUGUCUCUCUUCCUAUCAGAUUCAGUGCUUCUGCUGGUGUCCAACUGGGAGCAUGGCAAAUGGAAAUUGCCAUCAAUCACUGAACACCUUCCAGCAACUCAGCACUAAAUGCUGUUUCAUUUAUUAUCCUUCUCUGAGAAAUAGUUAAACAUAGUAACAUCAGACUACAGUUGUCAUCUUCACUCUUCACAUUGAUUGACAUUUUCAGAGUUGGAAUACUGGGAUUCAGGAGUAUCAGAAAGGUUUUCAGCUUUUCAGAAAAAAAAAAAAAUAGAUAUCCAGAUUUUGUUGUUGUUGUUAUUCACUUUCUAAAGUUUAUUUUUCAUGUUUUCAUGUUGGGUUAUUUUUCUGUUUGUUUUUUUUAAUUUAUUUUGUUGUUGUAAAAUGUUUUUUUUUUUUUCUCUUAAAUCUGUAAUUUUUCAUAUUCUAUCUGAAUAAAUGUUUUUUACAAGGAGGGUUUAAAUGUAGUCCUACAAUAUUUUGAAACCACCCAGGCGCAUAUGAAGUAGUAUUACAAUAUAUGAAUGCAAAAUGUAUAUUCACUAAUCAUAAAAAAUCGUCAGUUUUUUUUUUUAUCUGAUUUCAUUUUCUGGCAUAUAUAUAUCAUGUACAUGUACAUAUAUAAACGAAAAUAUUUAAUCCUUCCUUUAUAAGGUCUUCUGAGUUGCAUUCUGGCUUUCAGAAACUUGCUAAAUUAUCUUUUUCACCAAUCCAGUAGAGGAGCAAAGCAAUAAAGGUUGUAAAACAUUGGUAAAUCAAUCAGUUGAGUUUCGCUAGUUACAGUGUCAAUCAUUAAUCCACCAGUUCAAGUGUGACACAUUAUUCUUUUGUAUCGCAAAUGUUGUUAGCAAGUUAACCAAGACAUGAUUAGAUUAUUUAUUUUCACACAUUUGAUUUAGGUGUUUCAUGUGUUAUUUCAAAAUCCCUUGGGUGUGAAAGGAAUUUAAACCUUAUUGUGGCAUAUUUAGUUUGUUUGUAGAGCUAACUCUUUUCACUUCUGUGUCUCUAUUUGUUUGAGAAAUUACUGUUCUGUGAAAUUGAAAUUCAAACGGGAACCAGGUUUAAAACAAAUACUAAAAUUAUUAACUGCAGCAUGUUAUAACCUAAAUACAUAAUGAAAACUAUAGCUUUUAAAGUUUAUUUGUGUGAAAAUAAAUGAUUUUCUAAAGCCAAAUUCUGCUGUCCUUCAUGUAAGCAGUUUUUAAGCAACAUCAAUGUAACAUAUAUAUUAUAACAUGUAAAUACAAUUGUAAUAUUAUGCAAUCCAUAUAUGGAAACAUAUAUCAGGAUAUUUUUAUUUAGAUUCUUUCCCUCAAAUAUAUAUAUACAGUGAAAAACAUGGAAGUAAUUUUAAAGGUGUGUAGCUAGUCUAUGUCAUGUAAGAUACGAGGAAACUGUGGAGAAGCUAUAUAAAAUUUCUACUUCUUCCUUGUCAUCUCAUAAUUUCAAAGUGAACUUGUAUGACUGUGGCAACAUUUUUUAAUCUCAAUUGCUCUUGGCUUUUAUUCUGGAAAAUAUCCAGUAAAUCUAAGUACUUCCCUGAAUAUCUAGGUUUUCUUGAACUAGUAAGUACCAGUAUGCAUGCAUAUAUAUUAAAACAUAUAUAAUUGCACAUUAACAUCACACACUAAUUGCGUAUUAUAUAUGUAUUAUUAUCUAUCUAUGUUGUAUGUAUAUAUACAGUACAGACUUUGUGUCUAUUUUUGAAUAGAUGUAUUUAUAUAGAGAAAAUAAAUGGUUGGGUGCU
ensembl:lncRNA